rnacentral:lncRNA from 1 species
CGCGGCCGCGCGUGGGAGGCGCUUCUCGAGGCAACGCCUUUCCGAGGAGAGGCCGCUGGCCGGUCGCCGUCCUCCGCAGAGGGGCAGGGUGGGGGGGCGGAGGUUUUGCUGCCCGAGUGAAGGAGCUGGGUGCUGGCUGCCCUCACGGUGGUCUCCUGCCUUCUCCUGGCGAAGGCCCCACUGAUGGCUGCAGUCUGCUGCUGCCCCCUCCCAGUGGGCCUGCGGAGACUUCAGGAUGCUCAGAUAAUCAGUCAGGGAUCAUGAGAGUGGUAAUUUAGCUGCUGCUGGGUGUAAUUUACAGGUUCCAGGAAGAUGACUAUGCCCUAGCCUGCCUUUAAGCUAACUGAACAGGACAUGAAACUGCUGGGCAUGACAUGAGCAGGUUCCAGACAUGACAACUAGCAAUGUGAGAGGCCAACAAAAGUUACAGAUAGUGCCAUGAGGAACGGAUGGAUUUCACAGAUAGUUAAAAUCAGGAGGACUGGAAUGCAUUCCCUUUCUAGCAAGGGAACACCCAGGAUGGACAACUUGAGCACCCAGCAUCACCAUAUCGAUAUCUGUUCCAGACCUGAUGGCAUCAACACCUCCCUGUCAGCCAAACAUCAGCCUACGUGGAUUCACAAUACAAAUGUUGGUUACAUGCUUCAUAAUAGGUUGAUGGCCCUGUUGCAAAAUGCUGUGUGUCUAAUAAAUCGCCUUGGAAGGUUUCUUGUUACUGAGCCAACAUGUAAUGGGGAGAGGGAUGACAGUCUCUAG